UCCCUCUCAGAGUCAUACCUGGGGAGUUUCCAGCACUCUACCAGUCCCGAUUUCUGGAGGGAGAGUCAAGCAGAGGCAUAUCCAUUCCAUUCCUAGCUCGGACGGUGGCUAGUGAGCGGAGGACAAUCUGCUACAAGU